UUCUCACCACCCACUGGGAACAAAAGUUAACCUUAAGAACUGAAAACUGCUUCUGUCAUGGUGACUGCAAAAGCCUGGAAACAAGUUUCCAGUGAGCACCUAGCAUGAGCUUGACCCGAGCAGGAACUCCACCCAGGAGACUGACACCCAGCAGAGAUGAGCUCAUCUGAACCUUCCAGGACCAAUUCAUUGCUGGGUGAGUGCCACUCUGGCCUGGGACCGCCCAGAUCCCUGGUCCCCUCGACCUCCACCGCCCUUCCCACCUGCAAGACCUGUGCUCCAAGGAACAUGCUUGCCACCUGGAUGAGGACAUAUGGCGCAGGUAGCCCCCUUACAGCUAUCUUUUGUGAUUAUCAGGCGAAAGAAACCGGUAGAGGAACGGCAGUGGAUGGAAGAGGCAGAAAGAUUUUCUAGAAAGCGCCUGUUAACAAUGCCUCGGCUAUGUCUCAGAUUGACUCAGGGAAGACAAGUGUGUCCUAGAAGUCAACAGGGAAGCGGAUGAGUUAAAGAAAAAGAAGUGAUUGCAAUGAAAUUCCCACGCGCUCCGGGCUGCUGCGGCAGGAGGCAGGGAGCGCAGGGGGUGCAGCGUGCACCUGGCUGUGAGGCCCCACACACUUUUGGCCCCGCACCGAUCGAAGGAUCAACAGACAGACAAACAGGGGCAAGGGACUUACCUUCAGGGUUGGCGCUGAUGAAGACUCUGACGCUGCGGCCAGCGGGUACGAGCCUCCCUCAAGUGCUCUGCUCCAACUUCUGCCACCAGUGAUUUCUCAGAUUGAUACUCUUUCUCAUUACUAUUACAUAUAUGUAUGUCUACCAGGAUUUCUCCGCUACAACAAUCUCAGAUAUGCACCUUAGAAACCUUAUUCCAUCACCUGACACCUAUUUGCAGAAAUGUGUUUUCUUAUGAAGUACUUUCAUACAUGCUAAUUCACUUUAUUUCUAAUCCCAUGAGCCACUCUCCAAGGGUGUGAAAGCCACAGCACUUUAGAGUUUGGAAUGAGUAGUUAAUCUAAGUGGCAGAACAUGGAGGAAAAGCAGGAAUUCUAACAACGUCCACUUCUGCCAGGAUGUGAGCAGCUUUCUCCGAGGUGUGCUUCUGACCGUGAUGCUUGCCAUGAUGUGCUGCUCACUGGAGCCUGCAAAGCUAGAGGCCCGACAGCAACUGUGGAUUAAAACCAAUGCGAACGGACUUGGACCAUUCUUCCUAUUUAGCAAGAUGAUAUGAGUGAUCAUUCUACAAAUCUCUCAUCACAAUUCUUUGGGUUCUCUUUUCUGAAGAAAAAAUCCCAUAGGUUUACCAUCUUCUUUUCCUGUUCUAAUCUUAUCCUUUUAUGUUUGUUAUUUAAUAAUAUUGACUUCUUAAGAUAACAAGCCCACCAUAGGUCUUUAGUCUGAAUUAGAGAUACAGUGGCACCAUGUGUGCUCCUGGAUCUGCUUUCAUAAAUACAAAUUAUCCUUUAGCCUAAAUUUUGAAAACCCAAAAGCAGGCAUUGUUAGAUCAUUUACACUUUGAAGAAGAGUAUAUGCAGAAUGUUACAAUUCCUUUGGAGUUUGAGAAGCAUAAAUGAAAUUAUUCAAAAUCAGGUUCUACUCUUGCAAUUUCUUGCUAAACAUAAGAAAAAUCAUUAUACUAUCCCAUUCUACUAAACUUAAAACUUAGAAGAUUUCUUUUUUCCCCUCCCCUAAUAAAUAGAGUGCAGCUUUUCAUUAUAAAAUAUACUAUAAAAUUAUUUUAUUAUAGCAUAUUUUAUUGUGAAGUAUAAUCAUACGUAUUAUUAUUGCAUUUAUUAAUAUGAGGAGGUUGUGUGUAUAUAUCCAGCAUGCGUUUGUAGAGAGACGAAGGUACCUUGCUGAAUAGGUUCUUUCCUUCCACUAAGUGAGACCCAAAGAUUGAAUUAAAGUCAUUAGGCUUGAGAUCAAGCACCUGUUCCAACUGAGCCCAACUUUCUAAACCAUAUGUAAGAUUAUUAAAGACACUAAAUAUUGCCUUGCUUCUGCAUAAGUCAACAAUUUUAAUUGAAAGAAACUAAAAUUGACAAGGAGUUUAGGAGUAUAUAAACUCAAGAGAAGAAUUGGAGUUGAGUAUAUAUAAAAUGAAAUUGAGUAUUUAAAAAAUCUAGAGACAGGAACUUGGCAAGUCCUCCAGGAAAGAGAUAUUCUUGUUUCUCUAUUUCUUACCUCUGGAUCUGUCCCAAAAGUUUGAAUGCUCAUCUUUCUCAAGUCCCUGGUAUUUAAUACUCAGGAUGGAGUAGACAUGAUCAACAGUUCAGACCACAGGGGAAGACUGACCAGCUUUGUGCCCAGUAAAGUAAUUGAAUAAAUACAUUUCAUGUUAGUAUCACACAGAUGUGUGCCUAUGUAUCCUUCCAAACUUCUGGAAAAUUUCCUUACAGGUACACAAACACUUAAGUCAAAUUCACAGUAGCUUGUCUUAGGAAGGAGUGUAAAAUUGUCUAUUUGCCCCCCUUUAUUUAAACAUACUUGUCAUAAAUUUUCUACCAUCAAAAACAUCAUAAUGUUUAUUCCUCUGACCUGACUGUGCCUACCAAAUGUUGGGGCUUAAUGGGUAUCUUUUGGGUGUCUACAGUAUCAUUAAAAUUGAGGCUUAAUGAGUAGAAAGAUCACUAAGGGCAGGUCUUUGAAGGUAGUACUUAUUCACUCAUUCCAUGUCUAUGUCCUGUUGUCUGUGUUAUGUAUAUUGAUAUCAUGAUAGAGAGCAAGACUCUAUGCACACUCCUACAGUCAUGAAGUACAUCGUUCACUCUAUGACAUGGUGGAUCAAAAUUUCAGAGGCUGUCAGCCUAAACAAGCCCUUCCUUCCUUCAGUUGUUUAGUUAGAGGUACAAGAAAAGUAACCAAUACAGAGUGCUUAUUUUAAAACAAUAUAAAUGCCUUUCUAGGUAGUAUGGUAGUUUGAAUGAGAAAAAUGUUUCCCAUAGAUUCAUGUAUUAGAACAUUCAGUCCCUAGAGAGUGAUGCUGUUUGGGGAGGUUUAGGAGGUGGGGUCUUGCUGUAGGGGAUAUGGCAGAGUGUGGGUACUGAGAGUUUGUAAUCUCACCCCAUUCCAGUUCUCUCACUCCUAUUCUGAUAAGGGUUUGUUGUUGAGGAUGCAAUCUCGCAGUCUCCUGUUCCCACCAUGAUACCUGCCACAUAAUGCCAUGUCUCCUUGUCAUAAUGGACACCAAUCCCUCUGGAACCAUGAGCCCAAAUAAACUUUCUUCCAUGAA